UCCUCUCCACCAACCCUCCAAUUUCGUUUUUCUUCAAGAAAUACAGAAACCAAAACCUCCCUUCUCUCACAUAUUCAUCCACCAAAUCGAUCAUCAAGACUUUCCUUGGUUGAUCCCCAAACAAACUCCACACGAUUGAGGUUGUUUAUAUCGUGUGCAAGUUGAAGAACUUGAGACAUUUGAUGGCCUACGGUUUGAACUUUUGAAGUCGUGUGGGACUGUUGAAUUGUUGUAUGCUAAAAGGGCUGAGGAAAUGUCCGAGAAG